AUGGAGUCCUGCGACAUUGUCACCAGUCAGCCAACGGUUCAGGGGUGAUCAAGGCCGGCUUCGCAGGAGACCAGAUUCCUGUUUUCCAAACUAUGUUGGGCGGCCUAAGCACCUGAGGGUGAUGGCUGGAGCUCUAGAGGGGGACCUCUUCAUCCGACCAGAAGCAGAGGAGCACCGGGGGCUGCUGGCCAUCCGAUACCCCAGGGAGCCCGGCGUGGGGCGGGACUGGAAUGACAUGGAGCGAAUCUGGCAGUAUGUCUAUUCCAAGGAUCCGCUGCAGACCUUCUCGGGGGAGCACCCUGUUCUUCUAACCACUCAACCCCAGUAAGAACCGGGAGAAAGCUGCAGAGGUAUUCUUCAACGUGCCAGCUCUGUUGAUCUCCAUGCAAGCCGUGCUCAGCCUGUACACCACAGGACGCACGACAGGAAUGGUUUUAGACUCGGGGGAUGGGGUCACUCAUGCUGUCCCCAUCUGCGAGGGCUGUGCCAUGCCACACUCCAUCAUGCGGGUGGAUAUUGCUGGCUACUGGCCACUGCUAUGCCGGAAGGGGCCGACUUUCACACCUUGGCUGAGUUUGAGGUUGUCCAGACCAUCAAAGAGCGAGCCUGCUACCUGUCCAUCAUCAAGGAUGAGGCUUUGCAGACAGAGCAGGUGCAGUAUACCUUGCCAGAUGGCAGCACACUUGAUGUGGGCCCUGCACGUUUCCGGGCCCCUGAGCUGCUAUUCCAGCCAGAUCUGAUAGGUGAUGACAGUGAGGGGCUCCAUGAAGUACUGGCCUUGGCCAUCCACAAGUCGGACGUGGCCCUUCGCCGGACACGGUUUGCCAACAUUGUGUUCUCGGGUGGCUCAACACUUUUCAAAGCCUUCGGUGACCCGUUACUAAGUGAAGUAAAGAAGCUUGUCCGUAAGGACGUUAAAAUAAAGAUCUCAGCUCCUCAGGAACCGUUGUACUCUACAUGGAUCGGUGGUUCCAUCUUGGCCUCCCUGGAUACUUUUAAGAGGAUGUGGAUAUCCAAAAAGGAGUAUGAAGAGGGUGGUCAGUGCUAUUCAUCGCAAAACCUUCUAA